rnacentral:rRNA from 3 species
CGACCCCAAGUCAGGCGAGAC